GGAGUUAUAGCUCAGUGGUAGAGCAACUGCUUGGCCUUCACAUGGUCCUGGGUUCAAUCCGCAGUACCUCUG
rnacentral:tRNA from 1 species